GGAUUUGAACCUUUUUGGAAUGGAGGUGUUGCUACCCGCUAAACCAUACCUUGACCUUCUAGUUCUUAUCAACCUACUAUAUUAUUUCCAAGAGCAAAAGACAAGGGAGAAAAAGGUAGGAAAAAUAAAAUGUGGGGUACUAAGGACGAACAUAGAGUGAUAUAAUAAAAAUAAUAUACGAGCAUUUUGAACCAUAGAAUCUGUUUGGCCAGAAAGGAAAAGAGUGCAUGGCACUCCCCCAGUGGUUGCAAAUUACAACUAGUUCAAGAUAUUUGUCAUAUUUCAUCAACUGUCAGACUUUUGUGGAUGUAACAGAUCACUGAUAAACAAAAAGAUUAGCCUAUUUAUCCAGAUACAAAG
rnacentral:misc_RNA from 1 species